rnacentral:rRNA from 1 species
GAUGAACGCUGACAGAAUGCUUAACACAUGCCAGUCUUUGGCGAAGCUGUGCUUGCACCGCCUAGCCAAGGCGGACGGGUGAGUAACGCGUAAGGAACUUGCCCUGCAGUCAGGGAUAACAGACGGAAACGACUGAUAAGACCUGGUAAAGUCAGGCGGACUCAUGUCCAGCCUGAUGAAAAGAGAUGCUGCAGGAGAGCCUUGCGUCCUAUUAGCUUGUUGGUGGGGUAACGGCCCACCAAGGCGAUGAUAGGUAGCCGGCCUGAGAGGGUGGACGGCCACAAGGGGACUGAGAUACGGCCCUGACUCCUACGGGAGGCAGCAGUGGGGAAUAUUGGACCAUGGGGGCAACCAUGAUCCAGCAAUUCUGUGUGCACGAUGAAGGUUUUAGGAUUGUAAAGUGCUUUCAGCAGGGAAGAAAAAAAUGACGGUACCUGCAGAAGAAGCGACGGCUAAAUACGUG